rnacentral:misc_RNA from 1 species
CAGGAAGAAAGAAAAUGCCUCGCGCAUCAAAGAGAAAAGCGGCCCCACUCAAUUCCUCCUCCGUCACAUCAGCUUCUGACUAUCGUGCUGGUAAGGCCAAAUCAAAGGAGAUAGAACGGAUUGAUCGCCUAUUUAAUUUGUAUGCAAAUACCUCAUUAGGCAUGAUUGACCCGGAAGGAAUCGAGUCUUUGUGUUCAGACAUGAAAGUCCGACAUACUGAUGUUAGGAUUCUGAUGCUUGCAUGGAAGAUGAAAGCUCAAAAGCAGGGUUAUUUUACUCAAGAAGAGUGGCGGACAGGGUUGAAGGCUCUUCAAGCUGAUACUCUUAACAAAUUAAAGAAAGCACUACCUGAAUUAGAGAAAGAGGUAUUUAUGCAUGUCUGAAAACUGGAAAAGUUACUGAAAGUCUUCUAUGUUUGAUGCUGACUGCUAGAAACUGGGUGUGUUACUCUUUUUGCACUUUUUAUCCUUGAAAGGUGGGUAUACAAGCAAACUUCGAGGAUUUCUAUUCUUAUGCAUUUCGGUAUUGCCUAGCAGGUGAGCUUAGUAUUGGCAAGGAUGUGCUUUAGUUCAAUGUAUUUGCUUUGUGCCAUUGGGCUAGUAGCUCAAUGGUCAAUCGCCUACUUCAUAAUGCAGGAGAUUAGGGGUUUAAACACUGACAACCCUUUUCCUUCAAGGAAAUUAUGAUGUAUCAAAGAAAAAAAAAAGCAUUUGCUUUGUGUCUUUUAAUCUGUCUUUUCUUUCAUCAUGAUAAUUUCUGUCUUUUUAUCAUUUCAGAAGAGAAGCAAAAAAGUGUAGACAUUGAGACCAUUUGUGAAUUGUUGGAUCUUGUACUUCGUUCCCAAUUCUGUUCCAAGGUUGAUUUAUUAAUUGAGUAUCUAAAGAUCCAAAGUGAUUACAAAGUGAUAAACUGGGACCAAUGGAUGAAUUUUCUUCGUUUUUGCAAGGAGAUUAGCUUUCCAGAUUUUGAGAACUAUGAUGCAAAUCAAGCUUGGCCUUUGAUCCUAGACAAUUUUGUUGACUGGAUGAAAGAAAAGCAUAGGUAGUUUCAACAAUUCUUUGGCCAUUACCGUCCCCUACCUUAAGAGUAAAAUUCUGAUACAGUAAGGUAAUAUUAACUUCGUUUAUGUUAUGUGGGUUUGUAUACUUGUAUUCAGUUGUUUACUUUCUAUUAACCAGAAUUUGAUUGAUCUUUAUGCAGGGAUUUGCCAUAAAACUAAUGAACAGA